rnacentral:tRNA from 1 species
GGCUCCGUAGUACAAUGGAUAGUGCGUGGGUUUCCGGUACCCAAAAUCUAGGUUCGAUUCCUAGCGGAGCUAC